UACAGAGGGUGCAAGCGUUUAAUCGGAAUUACUGGGCGUAAAAGGGCGCGUAGGCGGAUAGUUAAGUGAGAUGUGAAAUCCCUGGGCUUAACCUAGGAACUGCAUCUGAAAACUGGCUGUCUGGAGUGCGGUAGAGGGUAGUGGAAUUUCCGGUGUAGCGGUGAAAUGCGUAGAUAUCGGAAGGAACACCAGUGGCGAAGGCGGCUACCUGGACUGACACUGACGCUGGAGGCGCGAGAGCGUGGGGAGCAAACAGGG
rnacentral:rRNA from 1 species